GUGCGGCGGCGUUGCGGGCGGGAGCGGCUGCAACGCCGGUGCCUGAGGAGCGAUGCCGAGGGAAAUCAUCACCCUACAGUUGGGCCAGUGCGGCAAUCAGAUUGGGUUCGAGUUCUGGAAACAGCUGUGCGCCGAGCAUGGUAUCAGCCCCGAGGGCAUUGUGGAGGAGUUCGCCACCGAGGGCACUGACCGCAAGGACGUCUUUUUCUACCAGGCAGACGAUGAGCACUACAUCCCCCGGGCCGUGCUGCUGGACCUGGAACCCCGGGUGAUCCACUCCAUCCUCAACUCCCCCUAUGCCAAGCUCUACAACCCAGAGAACAUCUACCUGUCGGAACAUGGAGGAGGAGCUGGCAACAACUGGGCCAGCGGAUUCUCCCAGGGAGAAAAGAUCCAUGAGGACAUUUUUGACAUCAUAGACCGGGAGGCAGAUGGUAGUGACAGUCUAGAGGUAAGUGUCCCAGGAAUGCUGGUAGGAGCCGACAUAGGUAAGGCUUGGCAGCACCCUCUAGAAGCAACCUGUUAGGAACAAGACCCAUCAUGUACCCUUUGCACUGGACAGAAGCUAUCAGG
rnacentral:sRNA from 1 species